rnacentral:rRNA from 1 species
UACAGAGGGUGCGAGCGUUAAUCGGAAUUACUGGGCGUAAAGCGUGCGUAGACGGUUAUUUAAGUCGGGUGUGAAAGCCCCGGGCUCAACCUGGGAAUUGCAUUCGAGACUGAAUAGCUAGGGUACGGUAGAGGGAAGUGGAAUUUCCGGUGUAGCGGUGAAAUGCGUAGAUAUCGGAAGGAACAUCAGUGGCGAAAGCGGCCCCCUGGGCUGGUACUGACGCUGAUGCGCGAAAGCGUGGGGAGCAAACAGG